rnacentral:rRNA from 1 species
UACGUAGGGGGCAAGCGUUGUCCGGAUUUAUUGGGCGUAAAGAGCGUGUAGGCGGCCUUACAGGUCAGCUGUGAAAACUCGAGGCUCAACCUCGAGACGUCGGUUGAAACCGUAAGGCUAGAGUCCGGAAGAGGAGAGUGGAAUUCCCGGUGUAGCGGUGAAAUGCGCAGAUAUCGGGAAGAACACCCGUGGCGAAGGCGACUACCUGGCCUGUUCUUGACGCUGAGGCGCGAAAGCUAGGGGAGCAAACGGG